rnacentral:lncRNA from 1 species
UGCGACAUUAGUAUCUCGCCUCAUCCUCGCCGGCCGUGGUCAGAGGCUCCCGCGUCGACCCUUCCGUAGCGCCGGCACCGCAACAAUUUCUUCCCAAGUCUGGCUCCCACGACCAAGCGAGCUUCUUCUGGUUGCCAAUGGCAUUGCGAGGCAUGGAGUCGUAUGCACGCGACUUUUUGUUCGGGUAGGUCGCCGUCGCCGUGGAGGUGGAGCGCCAGGCUCUGGCUAAGGACGGUGAUGGUCACAGAUUCUUUCCUUUCUACAACGUAUAACCUUCCCUUUUCUUUACUAAGUAGUUUCUGAAAAUUCCGUCUGCUGUGCCCAAAAUUGAUUUCGGGUAGCGUUUUACACUUUCCCAUGUUAACAAUGGAGUCCUCUUUGCAGGUUGCGAGGCAUAUACUCAGAUUUAAACUAGAAGAUCAGGUAAGCUUGAUCAAAGAUGAAGACGUGAUUCAUUGUGAGUGGGGAAACAGCUUACAUUGCCUUUGUUUUUUAUCCCUUUCCAAUGUAUUAGUUGCACAGUUGCGCUGUAGUUUAUUUUCAUCUACUUUCUUAGCCCAUGCCAAUUAUAUGUGACGCGGCAUCAUGUACUAAUAAUACUAUUACGAAUGUAGAUGUUAUUCCUUCACUCUUCCAAACAUUUAGUAUCUGUACUCUACCAAGCAGAUGGUAUUGGUCAUGAAGAACUCAUGCUAAAGAAUUUUUUUAGAAGACCUUCAUAAGUCAAAUGUCGAUUUACUGCUUUUUCUCAGACUUGUUUACCCAGGCACCUAAAGGUUCUACCAUGGCAAAUACAAAAAUACUGGAGGCCUAGGAGGUCCGCUUCACGUAUUCGAUCUAGAAGAAAGCAUUGAACAGAAGGGUACAGAGGAAAGAAAUGCAAAUGGCAUGUACUUCUAUGUUUUUCUCUUUAUGUUCUUGUUUUUUCUUAUUUUCUCGUUUUGUGUGCACAGUAAAAUUGAAAACACAAUUGAGUUACUGACUCGUCUUAUUGAUGAAGCUUGCCGCUUUUCAAGAUUGAUAGAUGAAAUCUUGCUCUUCCUUAUGCAAGUUCUUUAACCACUAUAACUUGAUAUUGCAUUUAGUGUUUCAUUGGCCCAUCUACAUGUCUGUCUAUACAUUUAAUAAGGUACUUCUCAUUUCAAUUUCAUAAGUUAAUACUCUUGUACCAUGUUAUCUUGUCUAUUUUCAUCUAAUAAGCAUGCAACGGUGUUGUGUUUCGUCAAUUUUAUAGGAACAGGGAGGAGUUAGCUGCAAGACUUGAAUCACAAGAAAAAGAGGAAGUAUCAAGAAAGUUUGAAGUUUCGAAGAAGAGCCGGCAAGACAAGAGGGAAGCCUGGGAAAAGAAGCAACAAAAAAUUGAGAACCUAGUUGCCUUUCUCUCAAUCAAGGGAUCGAGCAACUUAGUAGUCCUUUUCCAAUCCUGAUAAUGCAUGAAGGUCAUCCUUUUGUGAUGGAAGAUAGUUGCUGAAUGAUACAUAACAAUCAUGCGGACAAUACUUCUGUGGUCUUUAGUUAUCGUUAUCUAAAUAUUAGUUUCCAACAUGUAUAUUGUCGUGAUUGUCAAACUAGUGAAUGAAUGUUGUUGUUGUUCUUGUUAUUGAGAGGAUGAUUUGGCUGAGAUGAUUGAAUUUAUAAUAUGAUUAGGCUGCCAAAUACAUUUUGUAAAAUACGUUUUGUAGCCGUGGGAUAUUUUGGUUAGUGCUGACAUGGCAGCAAG